CAACACAGCAUGCCGCUUUGAGCCACGAAACUCCCACUGCGGCCCUGCUAUCCGAUUCCUGCAAUGUCAUCUCCACUGACCCCCGUCUUAAGGAUUUUCUCGCCGAGUUUUUUAUUCUGGAGGAGACGCAAAAAGAUAACAUGCUCAUUCCUGCACACGCUGUUCAGGAAAACAACAACAACAACGGGCCAGCGGAAUACCAUUGGCGAAUGGAAUUGUUCCAAUUGUCGACUCGAUUACCUUCUUAUCAGGCUGCCAAAAAAUAAGCACUUUGAUUUCCAUUUCCAUAGGAAGCAGGCAAAGAAGAAAAGAUUUGGCCGUCAUUGCGACAAAGGAGAAGACUGCUGCGAGCGCGCGGAGGAGCAGCUGCCACUCCAGGGACAGUGACGCGUCUUUUGGCCCAGUCGAUCGCUUCAGGAACGUUCCCACGUUUGCGCCUAAGCUCCAACCUUUUUCAGGGUUCCUUGAUCGAUGCGUCCUCAUCAAUUCCCAAGUGCUUGAAGGGAGCGCUUGGAAACGGGAAAUGUCAGUAAACCAAAAUAGAAAUGAAAUCUGUCCCGUUUUCAAUGGUGCUGUGGGACCACGGUUGCCUCGAAAAGUUGCCUCGACCAGCCCAUGAAGUACCCGCAGCCAGAUACUGGGCUCAUCCAUAUCCGUCUGAAAGCACCGACACCAUUGGAUGACGUAAGGAAUGUCAGAGCUCGGGUGGGUACAACAGUCGCCCCCAGCAGGAGCCAACACCUCGCCAUCUGGGAGAGUGUCCGUCCCCAUUCCUCUGGAGAUUCAGCUGACGGAAAAUUCAUCGGCAGUGUGCUCGAACAAGGACGUAACAUGAAAAGUGGAGGAGGAAGACUUUGUGGACAACGCGGGACUAACAGACGACCCUGGAAGCUA